GACGAACGCUGGCGGCGUGCCUAAUACAUGCAAGUAGAACGCUGAAGAGAGGAGCUUACUCUUCUUGGAUGAGUUGCGAACGGGUGAGUAGCGCGUAGGUAACCUGCCUUGUAGCGGGGGAUAACUAUUGGAAACGAUAGCUAAUACCGCAUAACAAUGGAUGACACAUGUCAUUUAUUUGAAAGGGGCAAUUGCUCCACUACAAGAUGGACCUGCGUUGUAUUAGCUAGUAGGUGAGGUAAUGGCUCACCUAGGCGACGAUACAUAGCCGACCUGAGAGGGUGAUCGGCCACACUGGGACUGAGACACGGCCCAGACUCCUACGGGAGGCAGCAGUAGGGAAUCUUCGGCAAUGGGGGCAACCCUGACCGAGCAACGCCGCGUGAGUGAAGAAGGUUUUCGGAUCGUAAAGCUCUGCUGUAAGUCAAGAACGGGUGUGAGAGUGGAAAGUUCACACUGUGACGGUAGCUUACCAGAAAGGGACGGCUAACUACGUG
rnacentral:rRNA from 1 species